ACUUGUUUGACUUCAUCUCCUAGCUGACAGUGAAACCAGGACUGAACUUACCGGAAGGUGAGCCUAACUUGGCCCGCCCCAGGGCGCGGCUGGCCGCCCUGGGAUGAAGCGGGAGUUUGGAGACUGGAACGUGAAAGGGGGAGAAGCUAGAGGAACCAGCUGCAAAACCUGGGAGGUGGACUCAACAAAGGUCAAAGCGAUGGAGGCCCGAGGGAAAUCGGAAUCUCAGAUAUCGUAGAGAUCCUGAGAGAACCUUACUGAAAAUCCAGGAAAUGCGUCCUCCCAGGAAUGACAUAUUCCUUGGCAACAGAUGGAGGAGAUCAACAAUGAAAACUGUUUAGUGCAUCGUUUAGGGGAAAAAAAAAUAUAUUGGCUGUCCAGGCAAUCCUGCUAAACUGUAUUAACCUGUUUGAUUUACCAAAUGAGUUCAGGGUUUAAGCAUGGAACCUGGAGUCAGAAGAUGUGAGUGUUGUGAAGACUGAAAGAAGUAAGUUUCUAAGCUUAUAAUGACCCAUAAAACAUAUUUGCUUAAUGAAUCAAGGAAACUGGAAGAAGAAAACAGCAUGGUAAGUAAGUACUUAAAGAGAAGGAAGAAAAAUGGGAAAAAUUCCUUUCCUUUCAGCUACAUUCGUUCCAGUGGUCUUAAUUACUAUCCUCUUGCAUUCAUGGUCUUUGUUAAGUAGUGCAAUAUUUAUUUAAAUCAAGGCAAUAUUACAAUGUAUAUAUUCCUUAGUAAUAAGAGGUUAAAAAGAUAAAAGCAUCUCAUUCUCAUUUAGAGAUAUAAUAAAAUAUUUAUGAAUAAAACAACACAGUGUCUGGGAUUUAGGUUGAGGUACACCAGGAGGAAAGCAAGAGAAGGUUAGAGGAAAUGAAACUGAUAAAGUGGUAACAAUGUUGUUGUUGAGUGACAGGAAUAUAGAGGUCCCUAUUCUCUUAAGUCAACUUUUGUAAAAGAUUUAGAUUCUUCUAUUAUAAAAACUUUUCCUUUAAAAAUUUUAAGCUUGGGCUUUGUAAGGUUUAAAAAAUCAUUCUGCUAUAAUUGCAUUCUGAAAUAUUUAUGAAAUGAAUAAAGCUCUUAGCACUGCAUGGCUAGAUACAUUUGGAAGAGUUUAUAAUGUCAGUCCAAAAGGCCAGCCGGGGCAUUCAGGAUGAAGCAUGGUCUGACACAUGUCUCCCAUUUCCAAAACAACUAGCAGGUGUGGGCUGCUUUUCCACAUUUGUAGGAAGCAUUGGCAAGAUUUCUUCCUCUCUGAGUUUAUGUGGGGCAGCUCCUGGCUGUAAAAAUUGCUUUCUCUCUCAUUGAGCAAUUUCACAAUUUAACUGUCAAGUAAUAAAUAUUUAUUAUAAUCAAGUAGCUUUGCAAAGAAAGAGAAAGGGGUUUUUGUUUGUUUGUUUUAUUUUUUGUUUGUUUACAAUUUCCAAAAGACAGUACAGGGAACAAUGUCCUCAAAAGAUUUUACUAACCUAAAAUUGGUUAGUAUGGAUAUGGUUUAAAUUGAUGAGUCAUUUGUUUUAGGGAGAAUUUUCUACACUAAAAUACCCAGUGAAAAUUAGUGACAUUUGGAAGUUCAUGAUAAUUAAAUACUUUAAGUUAUGAGUGCUAAAAUCUGAAGGAGACUGUUGAGACACUGAUGAACACUCUGGAGGUUCCUGCCAAGCAGUCUUUCCGAUAUGACAGCAUAACUCUUGGCUUUUUUCUCUUUCUGAUGUGGUUACCAGAGGUGGUGAGGGGGGUAGGAGGAGAGGAAAUGGAUGAAGUUAGUCAAAAGAAACAAAAUUCCAUUUGUAAGAUAAAUAACUACUAGGGAUGUAAUGUAUAACAUGAUAAAUAUAAUUAACCCUGUUGUAUGUUAUAUAAGAGAGUAAAUCGAAGAGUUCUCACCAAGAAGAAAAAAAUUUUUUUUUAUUUUGUAUCUAUAUGAGAUCAUGAAUGUUUACUAAACUUAUUGUGUAAUCAUUUUAUGAUGUAUGUAAGUCAAAUCACUAUGCUGUAUACCUUAAACUUACACAGUGCUAUAUGUCAAUUAUAUCUCAACAACACUAGAAGGAAAAUAGAAAUAAAUAAACUGUAAAUAGCAAUGCCUAUGUAUAACUGACAAAAUAAUUGUUUUGAAGACUUUUUAGAAACAUAUUUGCUGUACAGAAUGAUAUAAAAAUGCAGCACAAUUGAGUGAUUCUAAAAGUUGUCCUGAAAUUCCCUGAAAGAGACAAUUUUUUUUCUCACUGGAAAACUACUUUCCGUGAGUUUUAAACUGCAUCUGGUUUGAAUUAGCUUUGGAAAUCAUUGCUGUGUUUUUCUAAAGUAAUGCUGGAUCAUCUCCACGUGAUCCUGAUGAGGGCAUCAUUUUAUUUUAUUUUGUUUUUUAUAUUCACUUCAUUCCUCAAAACUUUCACAAAGAGAAAUGUAAGCAGCAGGUUAGUCCUGGGCCUUUACCUAUUCUUAAUGCAGUUGUUUGACUAUUGAUCAUGAGCACAGGAGUAGGUCCAUCUCUAGCUGACCACUGUUGUACAACUGUAUGCAAAUAAAGAACAUUUUCUCUCACCGUUUUCAACUCAAUUAUCAAUAUUCUCACCAACCUCAGAAUUAAAUCAGCAUUCUUGUGGGGCUAACAUAAAGCUUCUCAUCAUACAGUGACAGUAUUUUCUUCAAAAGCUAUUUCUCACCUGCUGCUAAGUUGCUUCAGUCGUGUCCGACUCUGUGCGACCCCAUAGACGGCAGCCCACUAGGCUCCGCCAUCCCUGGGAUUCUCCAGGCAAGAACACUGGAGUGGGUUGCCAUUUCCUUCUCCAAUUUCUCACCUAAUAGGACCUUAAUAUUUUAAAAUCACUAACCUUCCAUCGUAUUCAGUAGAGGUAUCAAAGACAGAUUUCAGCUACACAUUGCUGGAGAAGAAAAGGAGCCAGAGCCUUUAAAAAAUGCCCCAGGGCUCUCAAACUGCUCAUGGAUGACGCAGAGAAGAGAGGCUAGGGUCCUUGGGAGCCUACAAGACCACGUAUCAGGCCAUGUCGGUGGUCCACUGUCUUGCUUCAGGCCGAACCUGUUUAGAGAAGUGUAAUGAAAGGUUUAAGAGAUGUGGGUUCUGGAGGACAACUGCUGAAAUCAAUUCCAGCUCUGUCACCUAACUGUGUGACUUGGGCAAAUUGUUUGUGGUCUCUAAAAAGGGAGAUUACUACUCUAACGCAUUGGAUAGUUCUGAGGAUUAGUUAAAUGAAUCCAUGUAAAGUGCUUAGGAUAAUGCCUAACAAAAGGUAAGGACCUAGUAAAUAUCAGCUGCCAUCAGUCCUCCUCAUCAUCACCAUCAUUAUAAACACCCAGACUAAAGCAUGUAUAGGUAUAAAUAUAUAACUACUCAUGUGCACACAUGCAUACACAUACAUAUAAAUAUGCAACACGUGCCAAAAGAGUAUGCCUUUGGUUUUAUCUUGUAAGUUUUCCUAUAAUGUAUUACUUUUUCAGGUGAGUACAUCUGUAUGUCAUUAAAAAUUGCCAUCUUGUAACACAUUAUAUUGAUGCAUUAUUUUAUAUUGGUGUAUCUUUAAUUUUUGCUUCCAGGUUUCUUGGUUUAUAAAUAAUACUUAAAGCUGCAGUGUUCUAUACAUAACUUUGUCUAUAAAUAGCACUCUUUCUGAAGAAUAGAUUUCCUAGAAGUGAAAGUGAUUGUUCAAAUUAUAUCUGUGUAUGUAUGUGUAUAUGUGUGUGUGUGUGUGUGUGUGUGUGCGUGUAUGAUACAGCAGCAUGUAGUCUCUUAAUUCCCAGACCAGAGUUCAAACCUGGAUCCCCUGCGUUAGAAGCUCAGAGUCUUAACCACAGGACCACGAGGGAAGACACUCAAAUUAUAUUUUUAUUUUUUAAAUAAUUGAUUGAUAUUCUAAAGUGUUUGCCAAGUAUAUUAUGCCCACUUUAUAGUAAUGAUUCUAAAAACUGUUCACUAUCUAUUUCCACAGACCCUAGCCAGUAUUUAGUGCUCUUAUUUUAAUUAUUAUAAAUCUACUGGGUAUGAUAUUGUACUGUAUUUGGUCUUCAUUUGCAUUUCCUGGCUAAGAGGAAAGUUGAGCAUAUUUCCUUAUAUUCAUUGGCUGUCUAUAGGUAUUCUAUGA